AUUGAACGCUGGCGGCAGGCCUAACACAUGCAAGUCGAGCGGAGCGGCGGACGGGUGAGUAAUGCCUAGGAAUCUGCCUGGUAGUGGGGGAUAACGUCCGGAAACGGGCGAUAAUACCGCAUACUCUCAGAUGAGCCUAGGUCGGAUACGAUAGUUGGUGGGGUAAAGGCCUACCAAGGCGACGAUCCGUAACUGGUCUGAGCGGAUGAACAGUCACACUGUAAACGAGACACGGUCCAGACGCGUACGGGAGGUAGCAUGGGGGAAGAGUGGACAAUGGGCGAAAGCUUGAUCCAGCCAUGCGGCGUGUGUGAAGAAGGUCUUCGGAUUGUAAAGCACUUGAAGUUGGGAGGCGUUACCAACAGAAUAAGCACCGGCUAACUUCGUGCCAGCAGCCGCGGUAAUAC
rnacentral:rRNA from 1 species